rnacentral:sRNA from 1 species
UGUUGUUUCACGGGCCGGGACGAGCGC